rnacentral:rRNA from 1 species
AUGGCGUCGCUGCAGCUGCAAGCUGUCGCUGCCGUCCUGGCUCUCGUGGCCGGCGCCGGUGCCGCGCACGGCUUCGAGUUCCACGAGGCCACCGUCGAAGCCAUCCAGCUAGGGUUCAGCAACGGGACUUUGACCUCCACGGCGCUCGUCCGGUUCUUACCUGGAUCAGAUCGGCCGCCUCAACCCGCUGCUGCACGCCGUCAUCGAGGUCAACCCGGACGCGCUCAGGCAGGCCAAGCAUGCCGACGCCGAGCGCCGCCGCAGCAUGGCCACCGGCUCGCUGCUGCGCGGCGGGACAACAUCGCCACCCGUGACGCGCUCAACACCACGGCGGGCUCGCUGGCCCUCCUCGGCUCUGUGGUGAAGCGUGACGCCGGCGUGGCGGCUCGGCUCCGGCGCGCGGGCGCCGUGGUGCUCGGCAAGGCCAGCCUGUCCGAGUGGGCCAAUUUCCGCUAA